rnacentral:rRNA from 1 species
GACGAACGCUGGCGGCGUGCCUAACACAUGCAAGUCGAACGGAGAUACGAUUUCGGUUGUAUCUUAGUGGCGAACGGGUGAGUAACGCGUGAGCAACCUGACUCUUAGAGGGGGAUAACACCUGGAAACAAGUGCUAAUACCGCAUAAGACCACGACCCGGCAUCGGGAUGAGGUCAAAGGAGCAAUCCGCUGAGAGAGGGGCUCGCGUCCCAUUAGAUAGAUGGCGGGGUAACGGCCCACCAUGUCAGCGAUGGGUAGCCGAGCUGAGAGGCUGAUCGGCCACACUGGAACUGAGACACGGUCCAGACUCCUACGGGAGGCAGCAGUGGGGAAUAUUGGGCAAUGGGCGCAAGCCUGACCCAGCAACGCCGCGUGAGGGAAGAAGGCUUUCGGGUUGUAAA